rnacentral:rRNA from 1 species
UACAGAGGGUGCAAACGUUGUUCGGAAUUACUGGGCGUAAAGCGCGUGUAGGCGGCUCGGAAAGUCGGAUGUGAAAGCCCAGGGCUCAACCCUGGAAGUGCACUCGAAACUCCCGAGCUGGAGUCCCGGAGAGGAAGGCGGAAUUCUCGGUGUAGAGGUGAAAUUCGUAGAUAUCGAGAGGAACACCUGUGGCGAAGGCGGCCUUCUGGACGGUGACUGACGCUGAGACGCGAAAGCGUGGGGAGCAAACAGG